rnacentral:rRNA from 1 species
CGGUCGCGUAACACGUGGGCAACCUGCCCCGAAGCGGGGGACAACAGCCUGAAAGGGCUGCUAAUACCGCAUGUGGAUCGCCCUGGCAUCAGGGAUUAUCCAAAGCCUUCGGGCACUUCGGGAUGGGCCCGCGGCCUAUCAGCUAGUUGGCGGGGUAACGGCCCACCAAGGCUUCGACGGGUAGCUGGUCUGAGAGGACGAUCAGCCGGAUUGGGACUGAGAUACGGCCCAG